CGCAUGUUGCCGCUGAUUGCUGCGCAAUGCCGACUCGCGUGAGCGAGAAACGAUGCUUUGACUGCUGGCAAC